rnacentral:lncRNA from 1 species
UCGACGCAGAUAGCUCCGGUGGCCCCCGCUUCUGCCUCUAUCAGGCGGCGACAGAACCCACCUCCACAGCAUGGAGGAGCUGCUCCUUAAUCCGCACUACAACCAAUAAAAAUUUCCUCAUAAAACAGAAUGAAAAGCCCGGGUGGAAGCACAAAAGGAGAAAGGGGGGAAGAAGUCUAGUGCUAGUUCUUACUGACACUUCUUUAUCUAACUUUCAUUUUUGAGUGGUUUCUUUGUUCUCUUAUUUAUUUGGAUUGAAUGAAAGAAAGAAAAAACUUCCCUUUCUUUCUCUUCUUUUUAUCCCUUCGACGAAUUGCGUUUUGCCAGAGAGAUUUUUUUAGUUAGAAAGAUUCUCCAUUGGUAAUUCAAAAUAAAGAAAUAAAGAAUCUAAAUAAAGGCGCAU